AUUGAACGCUGGCGGCAUGCCUUACACAUGCAAGUCGAACGGUAACGGGCCUUCGGGUGCCGACGAGUGGCGAACGGGUGAGUAAUACAUCGGAACGUGCCCGAUCGUGGGGGAUAACGAGGCGAAAGCUUUGCUAAUACCGCAUACGAUCUACGGAUGAAAGCAGGGGACCGCAAGGCCUUGCGCGGACGGAGCGGCCGAUGGCAGAUUAGGUAGUUGGUGGGAUAAAAGCUUACCAAGCCGACGAUCUGUAGCCGGUCUGAGAGGAUGAUCAGCCACACUGGGACUGAGACACGGCCCAGACUCCUACGGGAGGCAGCAGUGGGGAAUUUUGGACAAUGGGCGCAAGCCUGAUCCAGCCAUGCCGCGUGCAGGAUGAAGGCCUUCGGGUUGUAAACUGCUUUUGUACGGAACGAAAAGCCUUCUUUUAAUACAGGAGGGUCAUGACGGUACCGCAAGAAUAAGCACCGGCUAACUACGUG
rnacentral:rRNA from 1 species